UCCCUGCUGGCUCAGUCCGUAAAGACUCUGCCUGCGAUGCUGGAAACCCAGGUUCAAUCCCUGGGUGGGGAA
rnacentral:tRNA from 1 species